UCUUGGUUCCAUUUAGAGGAAGUAAAAGUCGUAACAAGGUUUCCGUAGGUGAACCUGCGGAAGGAUCAUUAACCUUUCAAAUCAGGGUGCGGCGCGGCCCCCGAGGAGCGGAAACAAUCCUUGGGAGGUAUGCGGGGGCUUCGAGCCCCCCAUUUACGCACGCACGACUGCCAUCCUUACUUUACGAGCACCUUCUGUUCUCCCUCGGCGGGGCAACCUGCCGUUGGAACCGAAUAAACUCUUUUUGCAUCUAGCAUUACCUGUUCCGAAACAAACAAUCGUUACAACUUUCAACAAUGGAUCUCUUGGCUCUGGCAUCGAUGAAGAACGCAGCGAAAUGCGAUAAGUAGUGUGAAUUGCAGAAUUCAGUGAAUCAUCGAAUCUUUGAACGCACAUUGCGCCCCUCGGUAUUCCGUGGGGCAUGCCUGUUCGAGCGUCAUCUACACCCUCAAGCUCUGCUUGGUGUUGGGCGUCUGUCCCGCCUCCGCGCGUGGACUCGCCCCAAAUUCAUUGGCAGCGGUCCUUGCCUCCUCUCGCGCAGCACAUUGCGCUUCUCGAGGGGCUACGGCUCGCGUCCAACAAGCACAUUUACCGUCUUUGACCUCGGAUCAGGUAGGGAUACCCGCUGAACUUAAGCAUAUCAUA
rnacentral:rRNA from 1 species